CCUACUUGCCCUGCCACUUCGAAUCGAAGAACUGAGAUCGAUUGGUGCAUAGAUAUCAGGAGAACCCACUCAAUUUAACUCUAGCACCAUUCGAAAUCAGUGCUUUUGAUAAGAAACAAUCAGCGAAGUGUCAA
rnacentral:pre_miRNA from 15 species